rnacentral:rRNA from 1 species
AGAUUGAACGCUGGCGGCAUGCCUUACACAUGCAAGUCGAACGCGAAAGUAGGGGGCAACCCCUGCGAGUAGAGUGGCGAACGGGUGAGUAAUACAUCGGAACGUGUCCAGUAGCGGGGGAUAACUUCUCGAAAGAGAAGCUAAUACCGCAUACGACCUACGGGUGAAAGGGGGGGAUUCGCAAGAACCUCUCACUAUUGGAGCGGCCGAUGUCGGAUUAGCUAGUUGGCGGGGUAAAAGCCCACCAAGGCGACGAUCCGUAGCUGGUCUGAGAGGACGGCCAGCCACACUGGAACUGAGACACGGUCCAGACUCCUACGGGAGCAGCAGUGGGAAUUUGGACAAUGGGCAAAGCCUGAUCCAGCCAUGCCGCGUGAGUGAAGAAGGCCGUUCGGGUUGUAAAGCUCUUUCGGCGGAGACGAAAGGUCUGUAUUAACACUGCAGAUCAUGACGUACCGCAGAAGAAGCACCGCUAACUCGUGCCAGCAGCG